AUAUGGUAUUUUAGCUAAAAAAAUCUUAAGUUUAUCAUUUCAGAUUUUUGAAUUAUAGUUGGCUAAAGCAUGAAUGUAUUUCAACCAAAAGGGUGUCUACAACUCUACUAUUAAAGGGGAUCUGCAGUCGUGAUGGUUCGACCUCGAGCGAUCCCGUCUUACCGCUAGCGCUAGCCUUUUUAGUUUUUUCGAUCCCUCCAUAAACCAGCCAAUAAACCAGUUGAUUAGUUUAAAAAAUACCUACAUCACACCUGGAACCACGACCCUUCGGUCGACUUUCUCCUCCCCCUAAAGAAAAACGGCAAGAGUGAAAUUUUUUAAAAAGAAGCACCCACGAACCCACAAUCCAAUCAGGCAAUCACCCCCGACCCCGUCGCCCCCGUUCUCUCCCGAGAAGACGACGCCCCGCCCACCCUGACCCCCUUGCCGUCGGCAAACCCAGCCCCGCCGAAACUCACGACACGCCGCCUACCCCGACCCCCUCGCCGCCGGCCAUCCCAGCACCAAUCCAGUGCCGCGCGGAGAUCACCGAAUCCAGGCGUCGCAUCGGCGCUGUUUUUUUCGCGGUUUGNN
rnacentral:lncRNA from 1 species